rnacentral:rRNA from 1 species
GUACACGGUGUGACUAGCAUAUCAAUAAGCGGAGGAAAAGAAACUAACAAGGAUUCCCCUAGUAACGGCGAGUGAAGCGGGAAGAGCUCAAAUUUGAAAUCUUAAAGGGUUUCCCUUUACGAAUUGUAGUUUAAAGAAGUGUUUUCUGUUGAGGUUUUGGUAAAAGUUCUUUGGAAUAGGACAUCAUAGAGGGUGAGAAUCCCGUAUUUGACCUUUACUUUCAACUUUGUGAUACACUUUCAAAGAGUCGGAUUGUUUGGGAAUGCAGUCCAAAAUGGGUGGUAAAUUUCAUCUAAAGCUAAAUAUUGGCGAGAGACCGAUAGCGAACAAGUACCGUGAGGGAAAGAUGAAAAGAACUUUGAAAAGAGAGUUAAACAGUACGUGAAAUUGUCAAAAGGGAAGCGUUUGACACCAGUGUUGUUUUUCUGAAAAUCAAUUAAAGAACUGUUUAUGCUAAGCUGUUUAGACUUUAUCAGCUAUCUGUUUAGUUUUGAGCUUUUCUUUAAUGCACUUUUCAGUUAACAAGUCAACAUCAAUUUCUUUUGCUGUAAAAAAGCUUGAGGAAGGUGGCUUGAGAUUCGUCUUAAGUGUUUAUAGCCUCUUGCCUAUGCAGUCGGAGAGAUUGAGGUCUGCAGCGUAGAUCCUUCGGGGCUAAAUGCAUUUGUGCUAAGUUAUAGCAUUUUAUAGACAACUUGUUGACUAUGAUUUGUCUUGUAGCUUACUCGCUUAUGUUAUUUUACCUACGCUUAGGAUGUUGACUGAUAUGUAGUCGUA